GCCCGGCCUCAGAACCGCCCGGAGAGAAGCCGCCUUGGAUGGACAGAGGGACUGAGCUACAAGCAUCCAGCCAGUCGUGUCCCGGCUCCUCUGCAGCGGUCUCCAACGUCUGCUGCUGCCUGCCCGCUGCCUGCCUGCCGGCCUGGCAUCUCUCUCCCGGACCACUGCCUGCCCACCCCAAAAGAGCCUAGUGCCUGGAAGGAGAGGGACAGGAACACUUAGGUGGAUUACACCGCCUGGCCAUGUCUAGAAUCCCAGAGGCCAUGGCUCUGAGGAGGCUGGGCUCAGCGGCCAGAACACUCACUGACUGCUCCAUCUCUCCCAUCGGCAUGGACAGAGCAUGUUCACAGGCUGGGAGUAUGUGUGUUCCUCUGUCUCUGUUCUGCUGGGCUUGUGUCGUAGGGGGCAGAGGCAGCCAUGAACUUGAGGACUCGGUGGCAUGGGUGGUGAGGGGCACUGGGAGAGUGGGGGAGAGUUGAACAACUGUGGCCCUCAAAGAGAGGGGUUGAGUCUCAAAUGCUGCGAGUCAGGAUGCCUGGACACACCGAGGGAUCCUUCUUCUGUCUGGAAGCUGAGGGUGAAAAGCUUCCUGGAGGAGGCACUAGAGAUUAGCUCCAAAUGGAGGCUGAGGUUCCCUCCAUGGCGGGCUGCAGGGUCACCAUGUGACACACAGGACACACCUGCCACAACUGCAAGGCAGGGCUGCUCCCAAAGGACCACGCGCAAGUCCGUUCUCUGUGGUGACUUGGUUCCAGAAGAGGUUGCACCCGACAACGCUCUGUUAAAGAUGUGUCUGUGUAGCUCUAUGCCUGGAGACGCUAUUGUAGUGUGUGUGAUAACAAAAGCCGGCUGUGACUUGAACAGUCAAGAGCCCAGGACGGGAACCCAAGGCAGAUCACGUUCACAUAACAGAAUGCAUUGUGGUGGUGAAAAAAUGACAUUCCUGCAGGAUUCUUAAUAUUGUAGAGAAGUGUCUAUGGUGUAAGGUCAUGUGAAACCCAGGACAUCUGCAGAUAUGUGUGUUCAGGUAGCUUCAACUAGGAGCAGUGUGGUCAAAGCUAAUAGUGAACUCUGUACGAAUCCACUGUAUUUAAACACGUGGAGAGAGAAAACAGGACAGGUUGGGGCGAUGACUCAAUUGGUGAUGUGCUUGCCGUACAAACCUGAGGUCCUGAGUUCAGUUCCCAAAACCACAUGAGAAAGCCAGGGGUGAUAUCACGUGCUUGCAAUUCUCAACACCGGAGAACACAGGCAGAUCCCCCAGCUCAAGAGCAGCCGGCCUAGAAAACUUGUCAGGUUCUAGGCCAGUAAGAGUUCCUGUCUUAAUGUUGUCCUCCAGUCUCAGUAUGCAUGUGCACACGAGUUACCCAAGGAAGGUGGAGAGAUUGCACAGACAUGCUUAUAUACAUGCAAACACUUUUCAGAGUGUAAUAGAGAUGGUUCAGUGAAGCACUUGCUGCUCUA